GAACGAAAGAGUUUGAUCCUGGCUCAGAUUGAACGCUGGCGGCAUGCUUUACACAUGCAAGUCGAACGGUAACAGGGACUUCGGUCUGCUGACGAGUGGCGAACGGGUGAGUAAUGCAUCGGAACGUACCGAGUAAUGGGGGAUAACGCAUCGAAAGGUGUGCUAAUACCGCAUACGCCCUGAGGGGGAAAGCGGGGGAUCGAAAGACCUCGCGUUAUUCGAGCGGCCGAUGCCGGAUUAGCUAGUUGGUGGGGUAAAGGCUCACCAAGGCGACGAUCCGUAGCAGGUCUGAGAGGAUGAUCUGCCACACUGGGACUGAGACACGGCCCAGACUCCUACGGGAGGCAGCAGUGGGGAAUUUUGGACAAUGGGGGCAACCCUGAUCCAGCCAUGCCGCGUGUCUGAAGAAGGCCUUCGGGUUGUAAAGGACUUUUGUCAGGGAGGAAAUCCCUAAGGCUAAUACCCUUGGGGGAUGACAGUACCUGAAGAAUAAGCACCGGCUAACUACGUGCCAGCAGCCGCGGUAAUACGUAGGGUGCAAGCGUUAAUCGGAAUUACUGGGCGUAAAGCGUGCGCAGGCGGUUUGAAAAGUCAGCUGUGAAAGCCCCGGGCUCAACCUGGGAACUGCGGUUGAAACUCUCAAGCUAGAGUGCGUCAGAGGGGGGUGGAAUUCCACGUGUAGCAGUGAAAUGCGUAGAGAUGUGGAGGAACACCAAUGGCGAAGGCAGC
rnacentral:rRNA from 1 species